UACAGAGGUCCCAAGCGUUGUUCGGAUUCACUGGGCGUAAAGGGUGCGUAGGUGGUGGGGUAAGUUUGAUGUGAAAGCUCCGAGCUUAACUCGGAAAUGGCAUUGAAUACUAUCCUGCUUGAGGUUUGGAGGGGGACUGGAAUUCUCGGUGUAGCAGUGGAAAUGCGUAGAUAUCGAGAGGAACACCAGUAGGCGAAGGCGAGUCCCUGGACAACACCUGACACUGAGGCACGAAAGCUAGGGGAGCAAACAGG
rnacentral:rRNA from 1 species